UACGUAGGGGGCAAGCGUUGUCCGGAAUCAUUGGGCGUAAAGAGCGUGUAGGCGGUCCGGUCAGUCGGUUGUGAAAGUCAAGGGCUCAACCCUUGAAUGCCGGCCGAUACUGCCGGGCUAGAGUCCGGAAGAGGUGAGUGGAAUUCCUGGUGUAGCGGUGGAAUGCGCAGAUAUCAGGAGGAACACCAAUAGCGAAGGCAGCUCGCUGGGACGUUACUGACACUAAGGCGCGAAAGCGUGGGGAGCGAACAGG
rnacentral:rRNA from 1 species